GAUCAUGGCUCAGGACGAACGCUGGCGGCGCGCCUAACACAUGCAAGUCGAACGAGAGAUGAGGAGCUUGCUCUUCAAAUCGAGUGGCGAACGGGUGAGUAACGCGUGAGGAACCUGCCUCAAAGAGGGGGACAACAGUUGGAAACGACUGCUAAUACCGCAUAAGCCCACGGCUCGGCAUCGAGCAGAGGGAAAAAGGAAGGCAAUCCGCUUUGUAGAUGGCCGUCCGCGUCCCGGACGUUAAG
rnacentral:rRNA from 1 species